rnacentral:rRNA from 1 species
AGGGCAAGUCUGGUGCCAGCAGCCGCGGUAAUUCCAGCUCCAAUAGCGUAUAUUAAAGUUGUUGCAGUUAAAAAGCUCGUAGUUGAAUUUCGGGGUCAGUAGGUUGGUCAUGCCACUGGUAUGUACUGGUCUCACUGAUUCCUCCUUCCUGAUGAGCCGUAAUGCCAUUAAUUUGGUGUUGCGAGGAAUCUGGACUGUUACUUUGAAAAAAUUAGAGUGUUUAAAGCAAGCUAACGCUUGAAUACAUUAGCAUGGAAUAAUGAAAUAGGACGUUCGAUCCUAUUUUGUUGGUUUCUAGGAUUGACGUAAUGAUUAACAGGGAUAGUUGGGGGCAUUAGUAUUCAAUUGUCAGAGGUGAAAUUCUUGGAUUUAUUGAAGACUAACUACUGCGAAAGCAUUUGCCAAGGAUGUUUUCAUUAAUCAAGAACGAAAGUUAGGGGAUCGAAGACGAUCAGAUACCGUCGUAGUCUUAACCAUAAACUAUGCCGACUAGGGAUCGGAUGAUGUUAAUUUUUUAAUGACUCAUUCGGCGCCUUACGGGAA